GAAGAUAUAGCUCAGAUGUAGAGUGCAUGCUUAACAUGCACAAGGUCCUGGAUUUAAUCCCCAGUAUCUCCA
rnacentral:tRNA from 1 species